rnacentral:lncRNA from 1 species
AUUUUUUUCAUUUGUUUUUUUAACUUGGUGACAAAUAUUAAACUGUUAUACUUGGCACUUUUUGCUUUUGUUCGCUGAGAGAAAUGUAGAAUAAACCCACAGUGUUUUUGGAAUAGGUGAAUGAUUGCCUUUUAAGGUGACUGGCAUUGACAGUAGUGGAAAAAUAAAUAACCCCAAAAUAACAUACAUGUAUUAAUAAAUCAUGUCAGGGAGAAAAGUACUGAGACAGAGGUCACAGAGACCUCUCCGUGAUGAAAAGAGAAGUGGCCUCGAUCCUGGACAUGCUUGGGGCGUUUACCUCCCUGGCCGUUUUGAGACUGUCCAUUCUAACCAGUGCUGGAGGACUCCUCCCCCGAUCCAUGUACUUCCGCUUCCUGGAGCUGUUGUGGGCCUUCACCAAGAUGGCGGAUGUGAGACUUGCUCCGUCUAGGCUGUCCAGUGUGGGUGAACCCCACAUCAGCGGACUUCCAGAACACGCCCUAUCCUUAAAGGCUUUGUGGUCUCUCGGGGCUGUCUGUCAGAACCAACAACUGCAGGAUGGAGCUGCGGUCAUCUCCACAAGGACUUCAUCUGCUCAAGAGGUAAAGGGGCAGCGCGCAAGUCUGGAGUUUAGGAAGGAAGGAUUUGGCCUGUGAUACACAAGGAGCAAAGGCAGCCCUCACAUACGUCCCUGUUUUCCUGCCUCAUUACAAACAGCUCUGUGGCAUCACAUAAAUCAGUCAGCAACCUUUCUACAAGGGCUCACAGAAGACAUCUGAAGCAGAUGACACCGUCUCUGGCAAGGACAUCGCUGCAUUAUGCGAGUGCCCACAACCAUCCAGAUGUAGUGACACUGUUAUUAGAAAAUAAGUCCAACAUUAACAUCCAGGAUGAUGAAGGCUGCACACCGUUGAUUAAGUAUGGCUUGACACCACUGCAACUUGCAACAUAUGAAAAUCAGACUGAAAUGAUAAACUUCUUAGAAUCAAUGAGUGCAGAUGCACAGGCCGUGCAAGUGUCAAACAGGUACAGUUUCUUCUCUUCUACAAUCUUAGUGCUGUUCUUGAUGGUGAGAAUUGCUUAAGUCAGGAAUAUUAAUAUGAUAUUAAAUGAUUUGAAAAACUCAGAGAAAUAUUUAGAAAGCUUAUUACACACGAAAUAUGAGCUAGAAAAGAGACUGUUCCAACACAACAAAAGAACAGCAGUACCAGGAGUGCUACAUAGCUCAGUAGUUCAGUUCGUGAGUCAUGAACCAAGACAAAGAAUAAGCUAGAUCAGCUGUUGGUCUACUUCAGUAUUUUUUAUUUUGACACAGUUUUUAUAAUUUCUGACCUUAAAAAUGACAGUAUAAGCCAUAUCUUUAGAAUUAUAUGUUACAUAAUCACAGGUAAUAAAUAGUGUUUCCUAAUGAUCUGUUUGAAAUGUCCAAUGCAGUAGAAAACUACCUUUUGCUAGGAGGUGUUCGGUAAACUUUCAUCCCGUAAUUAACUAGCAAUGUUGGUGAUAUUGCAGUCCAAGACAUUUUUGUGUCACAUUUCAGAUGGAGCUUUUAAUGUGGAUAUAUAAAUAGUUCAUUUCCUUCCACAUAUUCUGGUAUUUUAGAAUUAUAAAUCUUCUCCUAGAUUUUGUGAAUGUUUAGCUCUAAAAAAAUUGAUCUUACAAAGCUAUAUUCCCUUCC